UGAAGACAAUAGCUGUUCAGAUAUAUUAUGGUCACCAUGAACAUAUAAAAUGCCCCAGUACUACUUUGAUUCAUUCCAUUCUAAAUCUAUUCCUUUUCAGGUUUUCUGCUUUCCACAAGAAAAUUACAAGUCUCCUAAUCAAAAGCCACUUUGAGAUUUCAAUCAAAAAUGGAAGAAGGAGAAAAAACCCAGUAAGGUCAGAGAUGAGUUCAGCUUCGUGUGGAAGGGCCCCAUAUCAUCAAGGUUGGAGCUGAACUACAAGGUAUCACCCUCCCAUAGAUGUGGGCUGCAUGUGACUCCACACAGUGUUUCUGUCUCAGGAAGAAGAGGUGAGUGACAGCAAUAAAGAUAGCAGGAUUCUAUUUCUGGGCA
rnacentral:lncRNA from 12 species